UUGCCCAUGAUGAUAUCAUAACACCAAAUAACCAUCUUUCGGGACUGAAUGGCUUUCAAAGCCUUGCUGUUAUUCUGCAAUUCUGAGGCAC
rfam:Jatropha curcas cultivar GZQX0401 scaffold779_27, whole genome shotgun sequence.